UGUGUGCGUUUUGUGUGUGCAAGCAAGAGGCGACAAAAAGAAAGUGUGCCCUGCGUGAUAUGAGCUUCACAAAAACAAAAUCAGAAGAGAGACAAAGGUGCCGAGAGAAAGAAAAGGAAAAACCAAGUAAAAAUUGAAAGCCUUGAUCUGACGGUUGAUCUUUACCAAGUAAAAAUUGAAAGCCUUGAUCUGACGGUUGAUCUUUACCGAGCUUGACGAAAUUUUGAUACGCUGAUGUAUACUCACCAAGUUCUCGAAAAUGAACGGUUCUGAUUUUUGAUUUGGCUCUCCUUACCAAGGCUUUCAAGAGGCGACUUGAUAUUUGGUAAAGGAAAGAAGCACAAUACUCUUUGUCACACCAAGCCAAGAUUUGCACUGAGAUUGUGAAUGCAGCUGAAGAUUUCUCCAUAGAUUUGUGGCACAACAACUUGGUAAUUUAAAUGAGACUCUCCCAAAAAGGAGAUUCUACCCUUGGCAACUAUGUCUCUAAAACAUAUUGUCUGUCCGAUAAAUAAUAUAGAGUUUCAUUUCGUAGAUCCCCUUCUCUAUUUAGGAAGUCCGGAAUUCUAAAUUUAUGACACACUAAUGUAUAUGUUCUAUGACUGAUAAAUCUAUUGGUGGUUGCAUAUAUUAUGUUACUUUUAUUGA